rnacentral:sRNA from 2 species
ACUCAACACUAACAAAUUAAACGAGUGAAUCUUUGCAACUAUAACAGGCCCUUAAGUGGGAAGUUUGAACUGCAGGUUAGCUCAAAUCUUGUAUAACAGAGUUU